rnacentral:rRNA from 1 species
AAAACUUUUAAUAAUAGAUUUCUUAGUUUUGGUAUUAAUAAAGAAUAUAGCGAAAUACAAUAAAUAAUAUAAAUUAUAGAAUUUAGUAAAUUAUUAAAUCUUUAAAUAUAUAUUAUAUUUAUUAAUAUUUUAGUGAAUAUAUUUGUUCGAAUAUUAUUUUAAUUAUUAAACUCUAUUUAUAUUAGGGAUCCGUGGUUGUCCGUAGUCCUUUAAAAUUAGUAGCGGGCUUGCUAAUUAUAUUGAGUAUAGUAAUUCUAUAUUAUUAUAAUUAUAUAGCGGGUUUUUACUAUAAAACCCUUUAUUUCUAAGGUUAACCUCGGAUUAGGUAGGAAUACCUAUUAAAUUUAAAUAUAUUAAUAAAUGGAGGAAAAGAAAUUAAUAGGGAUUGCCUUAAUAACGGUGAAUAAAAUGGUAAUAAUUUAAAUUUGAAAUUUAGCUUUAAUCCGAAUUGUAAUUUAUAGAGGAAGCUUUUAGUAAAGUACCUUCUGAGUCCCUUAGAACGGGGCGCUAUAGAGGGUAAGAACUUUAUAUAGUUAGAUACUAAUUUAAUAUAAAGUUCCUUUGAUGAAUUAAGUAGUUUAGGAAUAUUAUUUAAAAUAGGAGGUAAAUUUCUUUUAAAACUAAAUACUAACUAGAGAUUAAUAGUAUAUAAGUAGAGUAAUUAAAAAAUGAAAAGUAUUUUAAAAAGAGGGUUAAAUAGUAUAUAAAAUUAUUAAAAGGGAAGCGUUUAUAAUUAGAUUUACGCCAUUCCGAUUAUUCGGUAUUCUUAUUAGUAUAUUUAGGAUAAUUUAAGUUAGUAUCGGUUUUGGUAGGGGGAUAAAGGUCUGGGGAAUAUAGUUCCUCUAGGAAUAUUAUAGUCCUAGGUAUAAUACCCUCGCCGGGAUUAAAGUUCGUAUAUUUGUAAGGAUAUUAGUAUAAUAAUUAUUAAUAAUUUGUUUUGAAAUACGGAUUAAGGAAUUAAGGUUUUGUACGAGUAUUUAGGUGUAAAACCUAUAUACGUAAUGAAAGUGAAUAUAAGUGAGAGUUUCGGCGUAUUAUUAACCGAUUUUGAUAUAUUUGGAUAGAUUUAAAUAAGAGUAUUAAACUUUGGACCCGAAAGAUAGUGAAUUAUAUUUAAAUAGGGUGAAAUUAGAGGAAAUUUUGGUAGAGGUUCGUAACGGUUUUAAUAUAUAAAUUGAUUAUUAAAUUUAAGUAUAAGGGCGAAAGAUUAAUUGAAUUAUUUAGUAGUUGGUUAUUGCUGAAGUUUCCUUUAGAAUAGUAGUAUUAUUCUUUAAUUUUAUAAGGUAAAGCGAAUAAUUAGGGACUUGGGGGCGCUUUUUAGCCUUUAUUUAUUUUUAAACUUUAAAUAUAUAAGAAGCCUUUAUUAUUUAAUUGAAUGUGGGUAUUCGAAUAUACUAAUAUUAGUAGGCUAUUUUUAGUAAGUAGAAUUAGCGAUAUAGAAUAAACCGAAUGUAAGGUUAAGGUGUUAGAGUGGACGUUUAUUAGAUAUUAUAAAAAGCGUUAGUAUAUUUUAAUAAUAGGACGGUAGUUAUAGAAGUUGGAAUUUACUAAGGAUUGUAUAAUAAUUUACUUACCGAAUAUAUUAGCCCUAAAAAUAGAUAGCGUUUAAGCGUCCUACCUAUACCCCGCUCUUAGGGUAGAAAUAAUACUUUAAGGAGUAGGCGGUUAUAGAGGUUAGUAAUGAAAUUUAGGGCGUAAAUUUAGGUUGAACGGCCUUUAGUAUAGAUUUUAGUAGUAGUAGUAAAUACUUUAAUAAGAAUUUGAAGGACCGAAGUAGGGAAAGGUUUUAUAUAAAUAGUAGUUGGAUAUAGGUUAAUUAAUUUUAAAUUAUAGGGAAGUUCUAUUUUAAAGGGGUAUUUGUAUUUUAUAUAGCGAAAGGGAAGCCGGUUAAUAUUCCGGCACUUGGAUAUAGGUUUUGCGUAGUAACGUAAUUGAAUGUGGAGAUAAUAGUAGGGGCCCCGGGUAGAAUUCUCUUUUUUUUUUAAUAAUUUAUUACUUUAAAAAUAGUUUGUUUAGAGAUAGGGUUUAAUAGCUGGAAGAGUCUAAUACUUCUAUUGGGUCCGGUAUAUUCUCGACGUCCCUUAAAAAUCCGUGGGAGGGAAUAAUUCUUACGCUAAGUCGUACUUAUAAUUGUAGUAGGUCUUUAAGGUAAAUAGCUUCUAGUUAAUAGAAUAAUAUAAAUAAGGGAAAUUAGUAAAAUAGAUUUAUAAUUUUAGGAAAAGGAUUAGCUCUAAGGGUUAGGUACGUUGGGCUUUAGGUAGAUGCCCUAAGAGUAGAUCGCUACUAAUUGGGUAAUUAGCUGGCGGCUUUUAAUAUCCGGGUAUAGAAGCCUUUAAUAGACUUCGGUCGUCCGGCGUACGUUUAAUAAUUAAUUUAGAAUUAAUACGGAUAAGGGGAAUUUAAUUAUUUAAUUAAAAUAUAGUAUUAUAAUAGUUAGAAAGUAGUAUUAAUAUAAUAUGAUUUUUAUUUAGUAUUCUGAAUAUUAAAAUAAAGAAAUUUAAUUAAAUGCGGGUAAAUAGCGGGAGUAACUAUAAUUCUCUUAAGGUAACUAAAUACUUUAUUAUUUAAUUAGUAACGUAUAUAAAUAAAUUAAUAAGAUUCCUAUUAUUCCUAUUUACUAUUUAGUGAAAUUAUAAUUAAGGGAAUAGGUUUGGUAGAAUUAGUAGGGAAAGAAGACCCUAUUGAACUUAACUUUAGUUUAAUAUUAUAAAAAAAUAUAGGAGGUGUAGAAUAGGUAGGAACUUUAGCGCUAGUGAAAUACUACUAUUCCUAUUAUUUUUUUAUUUAUUUAAUUAAGCGGGGCUAGAUUUUCGUCUAACUUCUAAUUUUAAGGUCCUUCGCAGGCCAAUCUAAAUUAAAGAUAUUAUUAGGUAGGGAGUUUAGUUAGGGUAAUAUAUUUAUUAAAUUAUAAUAUAAGUAUCCUAAGGGGGGCUUAUAGAGAAUAGAAAUCUCUAAUAGAAUAAAAGGGUAAAAAUCCCUUUGAUUUUAAUUUUUAGUAUAAAUAUAAAUUAUAAAAGUGUAGCUUAUCGAUCCUUUAGUCCCUCGAAAUUUAAGGCUAAAGGUAUUAAAAAAGUUACUAUAGGGAUAAUUAACUUGUAGUAGUUAAGUAUUUAUAGCGAUAUUACUUUUUAAUCCUUUAAUAUCGGUUCUUCCUAUUAUAUUAAAAUAGAAUUCAGUAAGUGUUAAAUUAUUUACCUAUUAAUAGGGAAUGUAAAUUAGGUUUAGAUUAUUGUAAGAUAGGUUAGUUUUAUUCUAUUAAUAACCUUAUUAUAAUAGUAAUUAAAUUUAAUAUAAGAGGAACCGUUUAUUUAGAUAAUUGGUUUUUGCGGUUGUCCGACCGGAUAGUAUUGUAAUACUACUAUUUAUUAGAUAAUAGUUAAACGCUUCUAAGUUAGAAUUUAUAUUAGAAUACGAUAAUACUUUUAGUAUAUUAUAAAUAUAUAAGAAUAAGUUCCGGCCUUGUAUUUUAAUAAGUAAUUCCUCUAUUGGCUUUAAAGUAGUUAACGGUAAUUCGCGUAUUAUAAUUUUAAUAUACGUUAGAUUAAAUU